rnacentral:rRNA from 1 species
UCAAGCCUACGGGGCGCAGCAGUGAGGAAUAUUGGUCAAUGGACGCAAGUCUGAACCAGCCAUGCCGCGUGCAGGAUGACGGCUCUAUGAGUUGUAAACUGCUUUUGUACGAGGGUAAACCCCGAUACGUGUAUCGGGUUGAAAGUAUCGUACGAAUAAGGAUCGGCUAACUCCGUGCCAGCAGCCGCGGUAAUACGGAGGAUCCGAGCGUUAUCCGGAUUUAUUGGGUUUAAAGGGUGCGUAGGCGGCAUUAUAAGUUAGUGGUAAAAUAUUGGGGCUUCACCUCACUACGCCAUUAAUACUGU